rnacentral:rRNA from 1 species
ACUUUAGAUAUGAUCCAGAGUACCACGGGACACGUGAAACCCUGUGGGAAGCAGGAGGGACCACCCUCCAAGGCUAAAUACUACCUAGUGACCGAUAGCGUAUAGUACCGUGCGGGAAAGGUGAAAAGAACCCCGGGAGGGGAGUGAAAUAGAACCUGAAACCCUGCACUUACAAGCUGUGGAAGCACAUUUCUUUGGACGCGUACUUUUUGGUU